rnacentral:rRNA from 1 species
GACGAACGCUGGCGGCGUGCUUAACGCAUGCAAGUCGAACGAUGAAGAAAAGAAUUGAAGCUUCGGCAGAAAUUCAUUUCGGAUUAGUGGCAGACGGGUGAGUAACGCGUGAGCAACCUACCUCUUACAAAGGGAUAGCCUCGGGAAACCGGGAUUAAUACCAUAUAACAUUGCGACGAAGCAUUUCGAUGCAAUCAAAGCUACGGCGGUAAGAGAUGGGCUCGCGUCCCAUUAACCAGAUGGUGAGGUAACGGCUCACCAUAGUAACGAUGGGUAACCGGCCUGAGAGGGUGAACGGUCACACUGGAACUGAGACACGGUCCAGACUCCUACGGGAGGCAGCAGUGGGGAAUAUUGCACAAUGGAGGGAACUCUGAUGCAGCGACGCCGCGUGAGUGAUGAAGGAAUUCGUUUCGUAAAACUCUGUUCUAUGGGAAGAAAAGGACUGUACCAUAGGAGAAAGCUCCGGCUAAAUACGUG